GAUGACGGGAGCUUGCUCCUUGAUUCAGCGGCGGACGGGUGAGUAAUGCCUAGGAAUCUGCCUGGGUAGUGGGGGACAACGUUCCGAAAGGGGCGCUAAUACCGCAUACGUCCUACGGGAGAAAGUGGGGGAUCUUCGGACCUCACGCUAUCAGAUGAGCCUAGGUCGGAUUAGCUAGUUGGUGAGGUAAAGGCUCACCAAGGCGACGAUCCGUAACUGGUCUGAGAGGAUGAUCAGUCACACUGGAACUGAGACACGGUCCAGACUCCUACGGGAGGCAGCAGUGGGGAAUAUUGGACAAUGGGCGAAAGCCUGAUCCAGCCAUGCCGCGUGUGUGAAGAAGGUCUUCGGAUUGUAAAGCACUUUAAGUUGGGAGGAAGGGCAGUAAGUUAAUACCUUGCUGUUUUGACGUUACCGACAGAAUAAGCACCGGCUAACUCUGUGCCAGCAGCCGCGGUAAUACAGAGGGUGCAAGCGUUAAUCGGAAUUACUGGGCGUAAAGCGCGCGUAGGUGGUUCGUUAAG
rnacentral:rRNA from 1 species